rnacentral:rRNA from 1 species
UACGGAGGGUGCGAACGUUGUUCGGAAUUACUGGGCGUAAAGCGCGUGUAGGCGGCUUUGUAAGUCAGAUGUGAAAUCCCUCGGCUCAACUGAGGAAGUGCAUUUGAAACUGCUUAGAUCGAGUAUGGGAGAGGGUUGUAGAAUUCCCGGUGUAGAGGUGAAAUUCGUAGAUAUCGGGAGGAAUACCUGUGGCGAAGGCGGCAACCUGGACCAAUACUGACGCUGAGACGCGAAAGCGUGGGGAGCAAACAGG